UCUUUGAAAACUAUGAAUUGAAAGGAAAUCAAACAUAACAAAUUCUUUAAAUAUUAAUUAAAAGAUUACUAUAAGCACGUAGUGAAUUUAGCCAAACAUUUCAAUGCAGUGGUUUUGGUGCAGGAGCUCCUUGAAGGCAGUGAUGAGGUCAGAUUUGAUGAGGUGGGAGAGGAUGUGGGUGGGGAGAUCUGUCUGGUCGAU
rnacentral:lncRNA from 1 species